ACCAGGAGAAUAAUAGUCUGAGGCAGUGAGCUCAGUCCAAAAUCAAAAUCUAGGGCUUAAAAGGGUCUCAUUGCAACUCUCUUCUUUUUCGUUCUGUUUCUCAACAAAAAUGACGCCGCCGCCUGGACCCUACUCCGGCACCAGCACCAUAGCCCUGGUGGCUCGUGUGUCAGCUUUUUCUUUGGGUCUUGUGUAUGGGAACCUGAAGCUCAAAUAUCUCAAAGCAAAAGCAAAGUCUCACAAGAAAGCUGAAGCAAAGGCUCAUCACUGAGAGAGAUGAGGGGUUGUUGAAGGUUAGGAGAUUUGAGUUUUGCUGGCAUAGAAACAAUGUGCAGCAUUGGAACUGUACCCGAUUCUCAUUUUGAUGUAAAGCUUUUCUAGACCUUGUUGCACUGGUUAUAUCUUUUCAGCGUUUUAUUUUUUGGAGGUUUUAAACACUUUAAAAGAAUUGUUUUGCCUACCCUGGCCCCCAUAAAGGAAGUUUUGUAUUUUGCUUAGCUGACAAUGUGUACAUGUUGGAAGAUUGGAUCUUCCCUUGAUUGAAAUAAUAAAUCUGUGGCCGUCUCCCAUUUCCAUUUUCA